rnacentral:lncRNA from 7 species
ACUUCUCCUAGUGCACUAGCUCUUCGAACCCCUAGCUCAAGUCCAGUCCUUCAUCAUACACUCCCUUUUACAGAUAAUAAUAAGUGCAAGCUUCAAGAAUAUCUAUUUACUUCUUAUCUUUCUAGACAGUUCAGGUUCUUUCUGUUGCUGAAAUAUUUGAGAUUGGCAAAUGACUUUCAGGUUUGCCUGGAAAAGUAAUGAAGGAUUCAGAUCAUCACCUUGUGUGUUGUUCUCUCCACACAACUUGGAUCAUGGAGCUGGAGCUGAGGGAGCAGGUGAGAUCUUGAAUCCAUUGCAAGCAGAGGAAAUGUUGUGAGGAACUUCACUUGGGCCACACAGUAGGUAGCUGCAUUUCAGCCUCUGAAGCAAAGGUCAGCAGAUGAACCCAAGGAAGCCCAAGCCCAGGAAGAAGCUGGAAACCCCAAAACAGAACUGAGAAGCAAGCUAAUAACUGUGCAACAGAGGCAAACAGGCAUCUGUCUCUUUAACUGGAUCCUGACCUUCUUUGUUUAGCAAUGCAAACAUAUAAUAAUGGCUUGAACAUGGGGUUGCAGGCCACAUUAGGAUUUGGAAACUAGCUGGCAGCACCUGAUCAAACACAGCCUCAAACCCUGCUUUGGUUUUGCGAAAUCUCCCACCUAAUUAUUUUUAUUUGAGCCUACUCUAGCUCCUGUAGCUUAUACAUGAAAGUCACUUCAUUUAUCUCCCUGUUCAUAGAGAAAAAGAGGAAGCCAAAGAGAUAAUUGUGACUCAGAUAAUUCUGCUGGAGUGGCACAUUUAUAUUUUUUAUUUAAUUUUCAGUAUUACAAUUAAAGUCAUAGCUUCU